GAUAGAGUCUUCCCCUUCGGGGGACAAAGUGACAGGUGGUGCAUGGUUGUCGUCAGCUCGUGUCGUGAGAUGUUGGGUUAAGUCCCGCAACGAGCGCAACCCUUAAGCUUAGUUGCCAGCAUUAAGUUGGGCACUCUAAGUUGACUGCCGGUGACAAACCGGAGGAAGGUGGGGAUGACGUCAAAUCAUCAUGCCCCUUAUGAUUUGGGCUACACACGUGCUACAAUGGACAAUACAAAGGGCAGCUAAACCGUGAGGUCAUGCAAAUCCCAUAAAGUUGUUCUCAGUUCGGAUUGUAGUCUGCAACUCGACUACAUGAAGCUGGAAUCGCUAGUAAUCGUAGAUCAGCAUGCUACGGUGAAUACGUUCCCGGGUCUUGUACACACCGCCCGUCACACCACGAGAGUCUGUAACACCCGAAGCCGGUGGAGUAACCAUUUAUGGAGCUAGCCGUCGAAGGUGGGACAAAUGAUUGGGGUGAAGUCGUAACAAGGUAGCCGUAUCGGAAG
rnacentral:rRNA from 1 species